rnacentral:rRNA from 1 species
AACCCGAGAGAGUCCGGGCGUUCCCCGUUCGGGGGACAGGGUGACGAGGUGGUGCAGUGGUUGUCGUCAGCUCGUGUCGUGAGAUGUUGGGUUAAGUCCCGCAACGAGCGCAACCCUCGACCUUAGUUGCCAGCAUUCAGUUGGGCACUCUAAGGUGACUGCCGGCUAAAAGUCGGAGGAAGGUGGGGAUGACGUCAAAUCAUCAUGCCCCUUAUGACCUGGGCUACACACGUGCUACAAUGGUUGGUACAACGAGUUGCGAGUCGGUGACGGCGAGCUAAUCUCUUAAAGCCAAAUCUCAGUUCGGAUUGUAGGCUGCAACUCGCCUACAUGAAGUCGGAAUCGCUAGUAAUCGCGGAUCAGCACGCCGCGGUGAAUACGUUCCCGGGCCUU